CCCCCCAUCGCCCGCCCCACCCCCCGCCCGGUUGUUUGGCUCCGGCAGCGGGUCCAGGUUACUUUGCUGUCAUAUGGAGGACAGACUGAAAGCGGAAAGGCUGAAGCUGGAAGACAGGUGAGGAGGUCACUGAAAUAAACCAGACUCUCAGACUCAGCCCAGUGGCCACAGAUGGCAGAAGGCAAAGAAGAUCCCUGGGGCUUCUAAACACUUCCCCAGAAACUGGCAGCAGGCAGUAACUCCGGCCAAGUCAGGGGCCAGCUUGACCAGACACUCAUCAAAGUGUGAGACGCCCCGCGUGGAGCUGAGGGACCCGGCUCUGUCCAAGAACCAUCAAGAACCAAAGGUGCUGGCUCCAAGUCAAGUUGAACAGGGUACUGAGGACUCAAAGAUGAAAGAAAACCCAACAAACUCUGAAGGGAAGAAGCAUCUUCUCCUGUCUCUGACUCCUUUGAGCAGCUUAGUGGAAGAGAUCAAGUCCCCACUGCAUCCUGAAAGGGCCCAGAAGCUUCAGAGUACUGUAAACACAUCAGGCAAGGAAAUUCUCUUCCUCUACUCCAGGCAGUUUCACAGCUCAGAGCUCUGGGGUCUGCUAUUCCCUCUACCUGGAUGCUUUUCCUCACCUGGCCCCACUAUCAGCUGAGAAACUCCUGUUCUUUCUUGCAAGAAAGAACUUCUUCUUCUGUGAAGCUUUUCUUUACUGCUCUACUAGCACACUCCCCUCCACCAUUAUUUCUGUAUCUUGUACUUGUACCCAUCACUGCACAUUGUACCCUCUGCUAUUUUGCUUUAUUUAUGUGUCUGGAGUGAUGUCAUAUGAACCUUCCUCUGCUCUGUGUCCCCAGGGGGUAGCCUAAUGUCUGCUCCAUUGAGCAGAUGCUCAGUGAUCACUGGUGUGACAGAACCAUGAAGAACAGUCCCAGAUUUCCCAAGCCAUUUCAAGUUCACUUCAAGAUGGUUUAGCCCUCUUGCCAGC